GAAUGAGAGAUAAGGUGAAGGUGCCACGUGGUAAGCAGAGAAAGGAGGAAAAUGAGAAGAGAAUCUAAUAAGGGGAUCCGGAUUGGGUAAAGUACUCGCCUUCUCCACAAAAUCUACAGAUUUUGCAGGUGGAAAGGCCAACUUCCAAAGCUCAAAUCUCAACCAUAAUCAAUGAUAUAAAACCUAGGUGAAGCUAGAAGUGUAGGGAAUAGGUAUAUACCCAUUUGAGGCCGUGACAUGGUCGGAGUUGGGCGAAAAAUGUGUCUGAAAGUGGCCAUAUGGCCACGGUUUCAAAUUCCAGAAAAUUGCAUAGUGUCUUCCUUGGGAUUUCUCUGCAUCCACACAUGAUUAACACUUAACACUAGCCUCAUCUAACACUAAAACAUGAUCUAAAAGGUUCAAAGGGGUGUACCUUCGCUGUAGACGGCGGAACUCGUUGAAGGACACAAGCAUGGUGGCUGUUACAAUGCAGCCCGGGGAAGAAUAUUAGAGGGGUUUUUCUCCAUGAUUUAUGGUUCGUGGACUCCUAGAUGUCAUGAGGAGGCAAUCCUGGUGGUUGUUGUGGUGUGUGUGUGUGUGCUUGGAGUGAAAGAGAAAGUGCAGAGAGAUAUGAAAAGGAGAAAAUGAAAGUUAUAAGUGAGAAGGGUGCCAGAUGUCAUGGGAAUAAGAAGAAAAAAGAAAGAAAAAGGGAAGGACGAAAGAGAGAGGGCCGGGAGACAAAGAGGACAGAGGUGGACCCUACUGGCAUACCAAACAAGUAAGAAAAGACGAAAUGAGAAAAUAUCUCGCGAAAUGUAAAAUUAUCGAAAUGCUCAUAAUGUUCCGAAUUCCGUAAAUACUUCAUUCUAGCUCCAAAUUCAAUUUCGCUUGCGUACACGUGUUUGUAGCGAUGAGUACUACAAUGAUACAUCAAUGAAAUGAAUCUUAUGUGACACGACAAGGCAGUCAACAAAAUUCAACGUUUUUGUAAAUUCACAGGUUAAAAUUAUAAAAACUGUAAUAUUUGGAGACGGGUCGUUACAUUUACUAAAAUUAAAUGAUAAUGUAACGUUUGAGGUUAAAAAUUUUGAAAAUUGUUUUGAGUUUUGGAUGAGAAACUAUGAAUAGUCGGCCAAAGCAUUCAACCUUGUACUUGACAAUGACACGUAAUGACACACCUGAUAUAAUAAAUAUAAUAAAUAUAAACAAUAAUUAUGCAAUUAAGGAAAGUGUUCAGAGCAUACAACUAAUCCUACAUACUAAAAAGGAAUAACACAAAAUUGAAUGAAUAAAGAGAUGGGUCCUACACUGAGAGAAAUUGAAGAUGCCGAUGCGGAAGUGCCUUGACACUGGGAUUGUACCUCUCAAAUCUAAGUCCUGAGGGGGCGCAAAAUAAACAUAAGUGUACCAAGUUGAUAUAUAUAUAUA
rnacentral:lncRNA from 1 species